UCACAGAAGCCCCCAUUCCCAGUUCGUUUCGAACCAGCUGGUUGGGGGGCAGCCAUGGAAGAUCUGAACAUGCAUGGAGAGCCGUCGAUCUUUGUUUGGGAGGUGCGCUGCAAAUCCAGCCGCACUUUUGCUCUUCGUCUGAGAGAUUUCUGGUGGGAAGAUUUUUCAUCCUUUCUACAGCCUUCCACUCAGAGUUCCAUCUCUCUUGCUUUCGAAUUUCUGCAUCCUUUGCCUUCAGGUGACUGUUUGUGUGUGAAGAAAGGCUUGCGAUUGCUCUUGCUGGACAGAGUUUGUGCCUUUGCGAGCUCUAACCGAAGCCGGGAAAAUUGUUCUAAAGCCUUUCGUCCGCUGAGACAGAGCCCUCCCUUCGGUUCAUUUCCAACCAGCUGGUUGGGGGGCAGCCAUGGAAGCUUUGUGUUCGUUGCUGGGCAUGCGUUGGAGGCCGUCGAUUUUUGGUUGGGAGGUGAGCUGCAAAUCCAGCCGCAGCUUUGGCAUCGGGAGAUUUCGUUUUUUCCACAUCCUUCGACUGAGGCUUCUAUCUUUCUUGCUUACGAAUCUUUGCAUCGUUGCUCUUCAGAUGCUGGGUUCGCUUCUAACCAGGUUGGUUGGCCUGGUUGCGGGGCAAUGAUGGAAGAGGUCGGUCUACUGUUGGAGAUUAUCUGGAGGCUUCGAUUUUUAUAGGAGUGGCGUGCGUUGGUCUUCUUCUUCAGAUCGAACUCCAGCUUUCUCUCUGUUUCAGUCUCUUUCUCUCACUGAUCUUUGCUAGGGACUGGAAUGGAUACGCAGGAUACAUCUCCUUCAGUGUUGCUAUUCUUUGACAAGGAAAGAUUUAUAUUUAAUGCUGGAGAGUAUGAAUCACAGUUAGGCAGUCAUCCAAUUGCUUCAGGUAUGACUUAUGAAAAUUAAAAAGUUAUUCAAAUCUACGUGUUGUAUUGAAACUUUGGAAUUUUAUCUCAACAGAUUCAAUUGUCUCUCACCUCUCUGACGUAUAAGCAAUCACUGAAGCAAAGAAGCGAAGAUAACUUUCAGGUGAGCUUGGGUACGAAAUCCAAAUACGAGAAGCAGUCGUUUGCCCAAAUUGUUUAAGAG